UACGGAGGGUGCAAGCGUUGUUCGGAAUUACUGGGCGUAAAGCGCGUGUAGGCGGUUCGACAAGUCGGAUGUGAAAUCCCCGGGCUCAACUCGGGAACUGCAUCCGAAACUGCCGAGCUAGAGUCCCGGAGGGGAAGGCGGAACUCCCAGUGUAGGGGUGAAAUCCGUAGAUAUUGGGAAGAACACCGGCGGCGAAGGCGGCCUUCUGGACGGUGACUGACGCUGAGACGCGAAAGCGUGGGGAGCAAACAGG
rnacentral:rRNA from 1 species